GCCGUGAUCGUAUAGUGGUUAGUACUCUGUGGUUGCAGCAACAACCCGGUUCGAAUCCGGGUCACGGCA
rnacentral:tRNA from 1 species